rnacentral:rRNA from 1 species
AAUGAACGCUGGCGGCAUGCCUAACACAUGCAAGUCGAACGGCAGCUGCGGGUCUACUGUCGCAUUGGUGCGUGAACGGGGGGAUCCUGCCCUUAAAUCCGCCAUAUCUCCCCGAAAGGGGUGCUAAUACCGGAUAAUUUCUUCCGACCAAAGAUUUAUCGCCUUUGGAUGGGCCCGCGUGGGAUUAGCUAGUUGGUAGGGUAAAAGCCUACCAAGGCGACGAUCCAUAGCUGGCCUGAGAGGAUGAUCAGCCACACUGGGACUGAGACACGGCCCAGACUCCUACGGGAGGCAGCAGUGGGGAAUAUUGGACAAUGGGCGAAAGCCUGAUGGAGCAAUGCCGCGUGAGUGAUGAAGGCCUUAGGGUUGUAAAGCUCUUUUAUCCGUGAUGAUAAUGACGGUACCGGGAGAAUAAGCACCGGCUAACUCCGUG